UAGGGAAUCUUCCGCAAUGGACGCAAGUCUGACGGAGCAACGCCGCGUGAGUGAAGAAGGUUUUCGGAUCGUAAAGCUCUGUUGCCAGGGAAGAACAUUCGAUGAGGUGACUCUCAUGGAACUGACGGUACCUGAGAAGAAAGCCCCGGCUAACUACGUGCCAGCAGCCGCGGUAAUACGUAGGGGGCAAGCGUUGUCCGGAAUUAUUGGGCGUAAAGCGCGCGCAGGCGGCAGGGAAAGUCUUGUGUCAAAGACCGGAGCUCAACUCCGGGUUGCAUGAGAAACUGUCCAGCUUGAGUGUAGGAGAGGGAAGUGGAAUUCCACGUGUAGCGGUGAAAUGCGUAGAGAUGUGGAGGAACACCAGUGGCGAAGGCGACUUCCUGGCCUAUAACUGACGCUGAGGCGCGAAAGCGUGGGGAGCAAACA
rnacentral:rRNA from 1 species